GAUCCUGGCUCGGGAUGAACGCUAGCGACAGGCUUAACACAUGCAAGUCGAGGGGCAGCAUGAUAAGUAGCAAUACUUAUUGAUGGCGACCGGCGCACGGGUGAGUAACGCGUAUGCAACUUACCUAUCAGAGGGGGAUAGCCCGGCGAAAGUCGGAUUAAUACUCCAUAAAACAGGGGUUCCGCAUGGGACUAUUUGUUAAAGAUUCAUCGCUGAUAGAUAGGCAUGCGUUCCA
rnacentral:rRNA from 1 species